CCUACGGGCGGCUGCAGUGGGGAAUAUUGCACAAUGGGCGCAAGCCUGAUGCAGCCAUGUCGCGUGUGUGAAGAAGGCCUUCGGGUUGUAAAGCACUUUCAGCGGGGAGGAAGGCGGUGAGGUUAAUAACCUCAUCGAUUGACGUUACCCGCAGAAGAAGCACCGGCUAACUCCGUGCCAGCAGCCGCGGUAAUACGGAGGGUGCAAGCGUUAAUCGGAAUUACUGGGCGUAAAGCGCACGCAGGCGGUCUGUCAAGUCGGAUGUGAAAUCCCCGGGCUCAACCUGGGAACUGCAUUCGAAACUGGCAGGCUAGAGUCUUGUAGAGGGGGGUAGAAUUCCAGGUGUAGCGGUGAAAUGCGUAGAGAUCUGGAGGAAUACCGGUGGCGAAGGCGGCCCCCUGGACAAAGACUGACGCUCAGGUGCGAAAGCGUGGGGAGCAAACAGGAUUAGAUACCCCUGUAGUC
rnacentral:rRNA from 1 species